rnacentral:rRNA from 1 species
GACGAACGCUGGCGGCGUGCCUAACACAUGCAAGUCGAGCGGGGGGAGUUCUUCGGAACGAUCCUAGCGGCGGACGGGUGAGUAACACGUGGGUAACCUGCCUCAAAGUGGGGGAUAGCCUUUCGAAAGGAAGAUUAAUACCGCAUAACCCAUAGCUUCCGCAUGGAAGCAAUGGUAAAGAUUUAUCGCUUUGAGAUGGACCCGCGGCGCAUUAGCUAGUUGGUGAGGUAACGGCUCACCAAGGCCACGAUGCGUAGCCGACCUGAGAGGGUGAUCGGCCACAUUGGAACUGAGACACGGUCCAGACUCCUACGGGAGGCAGCAGUGGGGAAUAUUGCACAAUGGGCGCAAGCCUGAUGCAGCAACGCCGCGUGAGUGAUGAAGGCCUUCGGGUUGUAAAGCUCUGUCUUUGGGGACGAUAAUGACGGUACCCAAGGAGGAAGCCACGGCUAACUACGUGCCAGCAGCCGCCGUAAGAC